rnacentral:rRNA from 1 species
GAAGGCUGAAAUUCGCCUUCAUGAAGCCGGAAUUGCUAGUAAUGGCAGGUCAGCAUACUGCCGUGAAUACGUUCCCGGGCCUUGUACACACCGCCCGUCACACCAUGAGAGUUGGGGAUACCCGAAGCCUGUGAGCCAACAGUAAUGGAGCAGCAGUCGAAGGUAGAAUCAAUGAUUGGGGUGAAGUCGUAACAAGGUAGC